rnacentral:lncRNA from 1 species
GAUCUCUGGAUGCCGGAAUCUGAUUUUUCUAGACUUGCAUUCCAACUCAAUCACUGGUAAUUUACCGGUGAAUUUGAAUCAGCUUGGUAUCCUCCAGUUCAUUGAUGUUUCUGAUAAUUUAAUUGAAGGCACUUUGAAUCCAAGUCUCGGCUCAUUGAGUUCACUCACCAAACUUAUUCUCGGGAAGAACAGGUUUUCUGGUCCGAUUCCAACUCAACUCGGUUCCUGCAUGAAGCUUCAGUUGAUUGACUUGAGUAGUAACUGUUUAGUCCGAUUCCAACUCAACUCGGUUCCUGUAUGAAGCUUCAAUUGAUUGACUUGAGUAGUAACCAACUUUCCGGCGAGAUUCCGGCUAGUGUUGGUAAAAUUCCUGGCUUGGAAAUUGCACUGAACCUCAGCUGGAAUAACCUUUUCG